rnacentral:rRNA from 1 species
UACGGAGGGGGCUAGCGUUGUUCGGAAUUACUGGGCGUAAAGGGCGCGUAGGCGGCCUUCUAAGUCGGACGUGAAAGCCCCAGGCUUAACCUGGGAACUGCGUCCGAUACUGGGAGGCUUGGAUUCGGGAGAGGGAUGUGGAAUUCCAGGUGUAGCGGUGAAAUGCGUAGAUAUCUGGAGGAACACCGGUGGCGAAGGCGGCAUCCUGGACCGACAUCGACGCUGAGGCGCGAAAGCUAGGGGAGCAAACGGG